rnacentral:rRNA from 1 species
GAUGAACGCUGGCGGCGUGCCUAAUACAUGCAAGUCGAGCGAACGGACGAGAAGCUUGCUUCUCUGAUGUUAGCGGCGGACGGGUGAGUAACACGUGGAUAACCUACCUAUAAGACGGGGAUAACUUCGGGAAACCGGAGCUAAUACCGGAUAAUAUUUUGAACCGCAUGGUUCAAAAGUGAAAGACGGUCUUGCUGUCACUUAUAGAUGGAUCCGCGCUGCAUUAGCUAGUUGGUAAGGUAACGGCUUACCAAGGCAACGAUGCAUAGCCGACCUGAGAGGGUGAUCGGCCACACUGGAACUGAGACACGGUCCAGACUCCUACGGGAGGCAGCAGUAGGGAAUCUUCCGCAAUGGGCGAAAGCCUGACGGAGCAACGCCGCGUGAGUGAUGAAGGUCUUCGGAUCGUAAAACUCUGUUAUUAGGGAAGAACAUAUGUGUAAGUAACUGUGCACAUCUUGGCGGUACCUAAUCAGAAAGCCACGGCUAACUACGUGCCAGCAGCCGCGGUAAUACGUAGGUGGCAAGCGUUAUCCGGAAUUAUUGGGCGUAAAGCGCGCGUAGGCGGUUUUUUAAGUCUGAUGUGAAAGCCCACGGCUCAACCGUGGAGGGUCAUUGGAAACUGGAAAACUUGAGUGCAGAAGAGGAAAGUGGAAUUCCAUGUGUAGCGGUGAAAUGCGCAGAGAUAUGGAGGAACACCAGUGGCGAAGGCGACUUUCUGGUCUGUAACUGACGCUGAUGUGCGAAAGCGUGGGGAUCAAACAGGAUUAGAUACCCUGGUAGUCCACGCCGUAAACGAUGAGUGCUAAGUGUUAGGGGGUUUCCGCCCCUUAGUGCUGCAGCUAACGCAUUAAGCACUCCGCCUGGGGAGUACGACCGCAAGGUUGAAACUCAAAGGAAUUGACGGGGACCCGCACAAGCGGUGGAGCAUGUGGUUUAAUUCGAAGCAACGCGAAGAACCUUACCAAAUCUUGACAUCCUUUGACAACUCUAGAGAUAGAGCUUUCCCCUUCGGGGGACAAAGUGACAGGUGGUGCAUGGUUGUCGUCAGCUCGUGUCGUGAGAUGUUGGGUUAAGUCCCGCAACGAGCGCAACCCUUAAGCUUAGUUGCCAUCAUUAAGUUGGGCACUCUAAGUUGACUGCCGGUGACAAACCGGAGGAAGGUGGGGAUGACGUCAAAUCAUCAUGCCCCUUAUGAUUUGGGCUACACACGUGCUACAAUGGACAAUACAAAGGGCAGCGAAACCGCGAGGUCAAGCAAAUCCCAUAAAGUUGUUCUCAGUUCGGAUUGUAGUCUGCAACUCGACUACAUGAAGCUGGAAUCGCUAGUAAUCGUAGAUCAGCAUGCUACGGUGAAUACGUUCCCGGGUCU